ACGAGAAGGUAGAAGCGAGAGAGGCGAGGGCGAAGAGGAGGGGGGAGGGGAAUGAAGGAUGCAAAGGAAAUCAAGUAGCCGAGAAAAGGCUUGACAUAGGUCAGCGUAACGUUCACUUCGCCGUUUCGCUCUUUACACCCACACUGCUACAGCAGCUACAUUUCUUUCCUCCACUUUAUACAACCAUGGCUACUCACUCGGGGCCGCAUGGGACCUUAUAAACAUUGACCUGCAUUGGGAGCAGUGGGAGGGCAGAGCCACAGGAGGAAUUGUACCUUAGAGAAGCAGAAGUCUUCCUGGAGCUCCUCAUCACACUCCUGUGUCCAUUUGGGGCAGCAUACUCUUCCCUGUACUCCAGGAGACAGCUCUACUGAUCACUGAUUAGGUGGUAAAGCAUGUUGGGCUCCCUCUUCCCUGUUCCCUUUGGGGUAUCUUGCACCCUAGAAGAUGCGAAGAGGGACAUUGUGGAAUGACAUUGUCCCUUCCCUGGCCACUGCAGAGUGGUGCAAAGGCUGGAGGAAACCUUGCAUCUUCCUGUCAAGCACUUACGGAGCAGCCAUGCAGAAUCUGGACUUCCACAGGCACUUGAUGGAGUGUUACUAUGACAAUAUUUAGCUAAUAAAGUAUCUUUCUUUUCUUU